rnacentral:rRNA from 1 species
CAGCCGCCACGGGAAUACGAAGGGGGCUAGCGUUGUUCGGAAUUACUGGGCGUAAAGCGCACGUAGGCGGACAUUUAAGUCAGGGGUGAAAUCCCGGGGCUCAACCCCGGAACUGCCUUUGAUACUGGGUGUCUAGAGUAUGGAAGAGGUAAGUGGAAUUCCGAGUGUAGAGGUGAAAUUCGUAGAUAUUCGGAGGAACACCAGUGGCGAAGGCGGCUCACUGGUCCAUUACUGACGCUGAGGUGCGAAAGCGUGGGGAGCAAACAGGAUUAGAUACCCGCGUAGUCCCUGUCUCUUAUAC